UGGGGGAUAUUGCACAAUGGGCGAAAGCCUGAUGCAGCGACGCCUCGUGGGGGAUGAAGGCCUUCGGGUUGUAAACUUCUUUUGCUCUGAACAAGGCGCACCAUGGGGUGUGUUGAGUGUAGGGGUUGAUUAGCGCCGGCUAACUACGUGCCAGCAGCCGCGGUAAUACGUAGGGCGCGAGCGUUGUCCGGAAUUAUUGGGCGUAAAGGGCGUGUAGGUGGCUGGUUGCGUCUGUCGUUAAAGCUCAUGGCUUAACUGUGGGUUUGCGGUGGGUACGAGCUGGCUUGAGUGCAGUAGGGGAGGCUGGAAUUCCUGGGGUAGCGGUGGAAUGCGCAGAUAUCAGGAGGAAUACCGGUGGCGAAGGCGGGUCUCUGGGCUGUUACUGACACUGAGGAGCGAAAGCAUGGGGAGCGAACAGG
rnacentral:rRNA from 1 species